rnacentral:rRNA from 1 species
UACGGAGGGAGCUAGCGUUGUUCGGAAUUACUGGGCGUAAAGCGCACGUAGGCGGCGAUUCAAGUCAGAGGUGAAAGCCCGGGGCUCAACUCCGGAACUGCCUUUGAAACUAGAUUGCUAGAAUCUUGGAGAGGCGAGUGGAAUUCCGAGUGUAGAGGUGAAAUUCGUAGAUAUUCGGAAGAACACCAGUGGCGAAGGCGACUCGCUGGACAAGUAUUGACGCUGAGGUGCGAAAGCGUGGGGAGCAAACAGGG